rnacentral:lncRNA from 1 species
AAAAUCACUGCAAAGUCAGUCUAGCCACAGCACAACAUUUUGUUACUGCCCAGCUGCCUCUUGUCUGCCACAGCCUUUUACCACAGGCUCUGUAAAGGUGGGACAGAGCUGCUGCUGCUCCCUGGAGAGAGAAAUCUGGGGCUUUUCCUGCAUGGGUGAAGAAGAAGCUAUCAUCAUGGCAGGCAAGGCAAGAACAGGGAUGAAUGCCUGGGUCUCCCAUCUCAAGAAGUCAGCUGCCUGAUUUCAACAGCCUGACCUGUUGCCU